UGCGCAGGCGUCCAGGAAAGUUAUUUGUUAAAGCCUCCGGCUUAACCGGAGAAAUGCAUGUAAAACUAUCUGGAUAGAGUUUAAGAGAGGAAAAUGGAAUUCCUGGUGUAGCGGUGACAUGCGUAGAUAUCAGGAGGAACAUCAAUGGCGAAGGCAGUUUUCUGGCUUAAAACUGACGCUGAGGCACGAAAGCGUGGGGAGCAAACAGGAUUAGAUACCCUGGUAGUCC
rnacentral:rRNA from 1 species